GGCCGAGCGAACAGCUGCCGCCAAUUCGCUUCUUCUUUUUGGUCGAGCACGCAGCCCUGGUCGACGUCAAGAAUAUGCUGUCAUCUCUAAAAUAUUAGGUCAUUCGUGAAAUGCCAGACCCCCUUGAACAGUCGAAAUAAAGAUCAACGAAGAAGGUGAAAAAGGCUGCAUUGAAAGAGCCUUUAAGUUCGAACCUUAUCUCCUCCGUUUCAUGGCUUCGAGUUUUUGUCAGAUGCCCUGGUUACCAAAACAACAAAAGCAGCGACAAAUCCCAAAUUGCAUCGCUAAUAAGCGCACAACGGAAUUAGGACAUGUCCAAGACCUUAAAUCUGUACUGUACCCUGUCACCGAAGAACUGCAGUACAUCUGCAGUUUAGCUGCAAGUAUUGGCAGUUCGCAGGUUGAUUGAGCGAUAGGAAGCACAUGUGGAUGUUGACAGCUGAAAUGCUCUCAAAUGCUUUCCAUUGGGACAGGAUCGGAUGGUUACCUUGGCCAUGAGCAAGGAUUCGUAUGCAUAUAGGAUCAAGCGGUGCACUGAGAAGAAAAUCGAAAACGAACGCGUCUCUCGCAGCUCUAAGAUUCACGGAUGGCUGAUGAGCCCGGUUCGCCAAUCGAUAUCCCAACAUUGGGAAACCUAUGUGUUCCAGUUGGAGCGUGAAUGCCCCGUCACCACAACCCUCUUCCCGCAGAAACGUUGAUGGGUCGUUGAUUCAUGCAAACUUGGGUGUACCUUUGAUCUGGAUAACUAGUUCCACAUCGAAGUUACCGAUUUCCACUCAGAAUAAUGCCAAGUCGGAUUAGAGCACAGGUUAAGAUUAUAACACAAAACAUACACAACAUUAAAAAAAUAUGUAGAUUUUGUAUAUCAAUAAAAAGUGUAGCUACUUUCACAAUGCUCGGAUAAUGCUGAUGGAA